UAAGACAGAGGGGGCAAGCGUUGCUCGGAAUUACUGGGCGUAAAGGGCGUGUAGGCGGGAUGGCAAGUCGGUCGUGAAAUCCUUCGGCUCAACCGAAGAAGUGCGUCCGAUACUGCCAUUCUUGAGGGUUGGAGAGGAGACUGGAAUUCCCGGUGUAGCGGUGAAAUGUGUAGAGAUCGGGAGGAACACCGGUGGCGAAGGCGGGUCUCUGGCCAAAUCCUGACGCUGAGGCGCGAAAGCGUGGGGAGCAAACGGGAUUAGAUACCCCGGUAGUCCACGCUGUAAACGAUGACGACUAGGUGUGGGGAGGUCAGUCCUUUCCGUGCCGCAGCUAACGCAUUAAGUCGUCCGCCUGGGGAGUACGGCCGCAAGGUUG
rnacentral:rRNA from 1 species